rnacentral:lncRNA from 1 species
GGGGCGGCUCGCGCCAGCGCGUAGAGCGCCCGCAGAGCUGGGAAAAUCGGUCCGAGAGGCCUGAUCUGAGAGGACCACAGUUGAAACUUCAUCUUUCUCUGAAACCAUCACGCCUUAGCCAAUCCUAACGAAAACGUAUAAGCUUUGUUGAACAGAGUUGGAGGGAAUCAUUGCUGUGAGAAGCUGACAGUGGUGGAUGACAAGCUUGAAUUUCCAGAGGAAAUAGCAUGUCUGUGAAACUCACCCAUGCCAUCUGGAAAGGAAAAAGUUAAGUUGCAUUUCUGCAAUACAUUCUCUCCCUUCCCUGAGCUGCUCCUGGAAUAUAAAGAAAGCAAGGAAAUAUUUACUGGGCCUUCAGCUUUCUGUACUACUUCGGAACAGCACUAGCAUCUAUCUCAGGGUUUAAAAUAUGGAAGUUCUUGCCUUCCUUGAAUCUUUUCUCCCAGAAAUAACAUAUUGGCUCUCUUCCCUGUGACAUGCCUCAUCUGACAUUGGCUGGCUUUCAUAUAAAACCUUUGUUUUAGCCUACUAUCAAUUCAACUUUUACAUUGACAAAACGUAAUUUUUGGUUGUCAAUGUAAAAGUUGACAUUUUUACAUUCAACUUUAAUUUAAAUGCUGAAUUUAAAUUUAAAUGCUGAAAAUUUAUUUAAACACUUAAAAUGAUAUUAGAAGAGGUAUUUUAUGUUUUUAAACAGAGAUAUAUUUCAUUUUUAUAUGCAGUCAACAGAUCACAUGUGUAUGUCUCUUAUGUGUUCCUGUGUGGGAAUAGCUUGAAUUACUACAUAAGUUCUCUGAGAAUAUUAAGUUCAUUUAGGGGAACAGGACAUAUCUAUAUGAAAAACAGAAAUAAUACUACAAACAAAAGAGAGAUCACGAGAUAACAUGUAAUUAAUUCUCAGUGAAUGACAUGUCAUGAAAUCAUCAGAAGAGAUGAGGAUAUGGGAAAAGCUUUAUGAAAGUAGUCAGAACCAUAAGGAAGAUUCGGUUUUGUUAAACAGAAAGACCUUUUUCCAUUGUGGUAUUAAGUUUAAUAUGAUUUUCAUUGUAUUAAAAUACUAAUGCAGUAAGUUGAAAAUAUAAUUGCAUUCUUUUCAUUUAAUCUAUUGUAAAAUAUAUAAUCAAAAUGAUAUACUUGUAAAAUAAUUACAUAUAUAAUAAAAUCAAUAUACCUGUAAAAGAAAAAAAAAAAAAAAA